rnacentral:misc_RNA from 1 species
UUUUUGGGUGCAAUUUUGACCAUGCAUUGAGAGGGAACAGUCACAGUUGCCAUCUUUACCCAGAACAGGAAAGGAUCAAAGUGGUGAAAAAGUUGAGAGGGGCAGUAAGGAUUAUAAAGUUGGCAAGCGGAAAAAAGGAGGUGGGUAAGAAUUUAUAGCUAAGAAGAGAAGGGAAGUCUAUCGAGAGUGAAAGAUCUGGUGGCUUUUGGAAUCUUUUAAAAGGCAUAGGCGGCCUGGCUCAGAAAGAUGCCCCUACGCUAAGGGCCAAAAACCUCCAUUUCUU